rnacentral:rRNA from 1 species
AGAAUCAACGCUGGCGGCGUGCCUAACACAUGCAAGUCGAACGAGAAAGUGGAGCAAUCCAUGAGUACAGUGGCGCACGGGUGAGUAACACGUGACUAACCUACCCUCGAGUGGGGAAUAACCUCGGGAAACCGGGGCUAAUACCGCAUAACAUCCACGGAUCAAAUGCGUAAGCAGCUUGAGGAGGGGGUCGCGGCUGAUUAGCUAGUUGGCGGGGUAAUGGCCCACCAAGGCAGUGAUCAGUA